ACACGACUCUCGGCAACGGAUAUCUAGGCUCUCGCAUCGAUGAAGAACGUAGCAAAAUGCGAUACUUGGUGUGAAUUGCAGAAUCCCGUGAAUCAUCGAGUUUUUGAACGCAAGUUGCGCCCGAAGCCAUCCGGCCAAGGGCACGUCUGCCUGGGCGUCACGCAUCUCGUCGCCACCCCUCCCCGUCCUC
rnacentral:rRNA from 3 species